rnacentral:lncRNA from 1 species
AAGGCAGUUUGGCGCCAGCAGCCAAGUUGUAGAAUUGCUUUGGAGGCUGCCGGGGUGCACAAGAGAAUUGACAAGAACAGACACCGUUGCAGACCAAAGGCAUGCCUGAUUGCACUUGAGUCAGAUCGCUGGGACGCAGCCUCUGCUCUAACUAUUUGUGGCCGAAUAAAGGAAAGGAGACUAGAAACAGGACUGCCAGUGGUAUUCCUAAAAGGAAAACAAGGACACUCCAGAAGGAGGGGGAAAACAGCCCAGCUGGUGUGUGCAUUUUUUUUUUUUUUUUUAAAGGAGAAUCCCUCAGUUACGCCAGCACUUAGACUUGCCACAGAUCAAGUUACCAAUUGCUUCUGUUGUGUUCACUUAUUCCCAGAUGCUCUUUGAGAUACUGCAUGAAGUUAUGUGGAAAUGAGGAAGCUUCACAAAACCCCUCCUCUUAGAGAGAAUGUCCUUCAUAAAUGGAGCUUUGCUUCAGGUUUUCACCGGACACUAACAUUGUGGCAGAGCCACAGCGGCCCUUCCUGCUAUUUUCAGUGACUCACAGAACACCUGAAUAGUGAUGCUGGCGUUGGAUUUGCAGGUUUCCAUCCUGAUACCUUGUUUACUUCUUUGGGGCAGAACAGCUUGCAGUAAUUGCUCUCCAUGGUGGCUAAUCUUUUCAAGAGCCUGAUUUUACCUUACAUACACAAGCUUUGCAAAGGAAUGUUUACAAAGAAAUUGGGAAAUACAACCAAAAAAAAAGAGAAUCGCCAGCUAAAAAAGGAUCAAGACAUUCCUACCGCCAACCAGACGAAACCCCCCAAAUUUUCGAAUACCUUGAAAAGCACUGUAAAGAAGAUUGCCAAGUGUUCCUCUGCCCGCAACUUAUCCACUGAGGAAGACGAGGCUAACAGAGAAUUCUCCCUCUCCCCCACGUUCAGUUACCGAGUCGCUAUUGCCAAUGGCCUCCAGAAGCGCGUCCAGGUAACCAAUGGUGAUAAUGAGGAUCUUCUUCAAGAGUUAUCUUCCAUCGAGAGCUCCUACUCAGAAUCACUCAGUGAACUAAGGAGCAGUACAGAGAACCAGGCACAGACAACACACACGAUGCCAGUGAGACGCAACAGGAAGAGUUCGAGCAGCCUGGCUCCCUCUGAGGGGAGCUCUGAUGGGGAACGCACUCUGCAUAGCUUGAAACUAGGAGCUUUACGCAAACUGAGGAAAUGGAAAAAGAGUCAAGAGUGUGUCUCCUCAGAUUCAGAGUUGAGCACAAUGAAGAAAACUUGGGGAAUAAGAAGCAAAUCUUUGGACAGAACUGCCCGAACCCCAAAGACAAACACCCUGGAACCUGGAUUCAGUUCCUCUGGCUGCAUUAGCCAAACACAGGAUGUCAUGGAAAUGAUCUUUAAGGAACUUCAAGGAAUAAGUCAGAUCGAAACAGAGCUUUCUGAACUCCGAGGGCAUGUCAAUGCUCUCAAGCAUUCCAUCGAUGAGAUCUCCAGCAGUGUGGAGGUUGUGCAAAGUGAAAUUGAGCAGCUCCGGACGGGAUUCGUCCAGUCUCGGAGGGAAACCAGAGACAUCCAUGAUUAUAUUAAACACUUAGGUCAUAUGGGUAGCAAGGCAAGCCUGAGGUUUUUAAAUGUGCCUGAAGAAAGAUUUGAAUAUAUUGAAAGUGUGGUGUACCAAAUUCUGGUAGAUAAAAUGGGGUUUUCAGAUGUCCCAAAUGCUAUUAAAAUUGAAUUUGCUCAGAGAAUAGGACACCAAAGGGACUGUCCCAAUGCAAAGCCACGGCCCAUCUUGGUGUACUUUGAAACCCCUCAGCAAAGGGAUUCCGUUUUAAAAAAAUCAUAUAAACUCAAAGGAACAGGCAUUGGGAUCUCCACAGAUAUUCUCACUCAUGACAUCAAAGAAAGAAAAGAGAGAGGAAUACCAUCCUCCCAGACAUAUGAGAGUAUGGAUAUAAAGCUGUCAACUCCAGAGCCCAGAAUCAAGAAGGAUAAUUGGCAGUCACCUGAUGACAGUGAUGGAGAGCUGGGAUCUGACCUCAAUAGAAACAGUUAUGCUGUGCUUUCCAAAUCGGAGUUUCCAACAAAAGGAAGUGCUUCCAAGUCAAGUUCAAAAUCGCACAAUGCUAGAGCCAAGAAUAAAACUGCUAGUAGCAGCAGAAUUCCAAAUAAAUCAGAAUAUGAUAAAAUUUCCUCACAUCUGCCAGAAUCAGAUAACUUGGCAAAACAGGGCACAACCCAUUAUGCAGACGUGACACCUCUCUGGCACUCACAGAGUGAUUUUUUCACUGCUAAACUUAGUCGUUCUGAAUCAGACUUUUCCAAAUUGUGUCAAUCUUAUUCGGAGGAUUUUUCAGAAAAUCAGUUUUUCACUAGAACUAAUGGAAGCUCCCUCCUGUCAUCUUCAGACCGGGAACUUUGGCAGAGGAAGCAGGAGGGCUUGUAUGACAGCCCUCAGGAUCAGUGUUUGGAUGGGGCCCCUCAGGGUAUCCAAGUGCAGAGUGAAACUGAGAACGCAGAAACCGUGGAUAGUGGAAUGAGUAAUGGUGUGGUGUGUGUAUCUGGAGACCAGAGUCAUUACAGCGAUUCUCAGCUCUCUUUACAUGAGGACCUCUCUCCAUGGAAAGAGUGGAAUCAGGUAAAGCAAGGAGCUGACUUAGGUCUAGAUUCAUCCACCCAGGAAGCUUUUGACUAUGACACAAACAGCCUCUCUGAUCGACAACUAGAUGUUUACCCUAAAGACUUAGAGGACUUGGGAAAGUGCCAUGGUGACCUUCAGGAUGACUUUGAGAGCUAUGAUUUAAUCCAAGAUGACAACUCAUCUCCGUGCCCUGGAUUGGAUAAUGAACCCCAAGGACAGUGGGUUGGUCAGUAUAAUUCUUACCAGGAACCUAAUUCUAAUGAGCUGUACCAAAACCAAAACCAGUUGUCCCUGAUGUAUCGAAGUCAUGGUGAAUUGCAGAGUGAUGAUUCAGAGGAUGCCCCACCCAAAUCUUGGCAUAGUCGAUUAAGCAUUGACCUUUCUGAUAAGGCUUUUAGCUUCCCCAAACUUGGAUCCACACUACAAAGGGCUAAAUCAGCCUUGGAAGUGGUAUGGAACAAAAGCACACAGAGUCUUAGUGGAUAUGAGGACAGUGGCUCUUCCUUAAUGGGGCGAUUUCGGACAUUAUCCCAAUCAACUGCAAAUGAAUCAAGUACCACCCUUGACUCUGAUGUCUACACAGAGCCUUAUUACUACAAAGCAGAGGAUGAGGAGGACUACAGUGAACCGGUGGCUGAUCAUGAAACAGAUUACGUUGAAGUGAUGGAACAAGUCCUUGCUAAGCUAGAAAACAGGACUAGUGUUACUGAAACAGAUGAACAAAUGCAGGAAUAUGAUCACCCUUCAUAUGAAACACCUUAUGAAACCCCACAAGAUGAAGGUUAUGAUGGGCAGGGAGAUGAUGUAAUUAGUGAAGGGGGAUUGGAACCCUUCAAUGAAACAUCAGCUGAAAUGGAAAUAAAAGAAGAUGAAAACCAAAACAUCCCUGAGCAACCAGUGGAAGUCACAAAGCCAAAGCGGAUUCGUCCCUCUUUCAAAGAAGCAGCUUUGAAAGCCUAUAAAAAGCAAAUGGCAGAAUUGGAAGAGAAGAUCCUGGCUGGAGGUAUUUAUGUUUAAAUGCUACAUUAUGAGUUAAUUGUGUUUUAACAUUCCAUGGUGCUUCUUUAAAAUGUAUUCUGUGUUUACUCUUGGGAGAAGGAAUUUACUAUUAUGAAAUUUGCAUGUUUAUUCUGAGAAGGAUUUUAUUUUACUUAGCUCCCCCAAUGAGUUGGGCUUGAUGGUUUGAAAUCAAAGUAUUUUCAAAUAGGUCAUAUUAAAAUAAGGCCAACACUCUGUGGAUAAGAUUUCUGUGGUAGGAUUUGGCAUAAAUACCAUUUCAUAUUAACCAGCUUUAUGGUAUUAGUUAUCAUCUGCUAAGUGAAAUCAAAGAGCAGCCUUUUUAAUUCUCUUAGUUUCCUGUAAGGAAUGGAAAGAAAGAUAUGGUUAUUCUUAAAGAAUUAGGAAAGAUGGACUCUUAUAUUUACCGCUCCUUUCCCCAUAAAAUCUACACUUUGAAACAUGCCAACAGGAAGAGCUGGGUCUGUACAGCCAACCCCAGCCUGCAGUAUGGAAGACCACAGACUCUCUCACUAUCUACUGAUGCAGCUGAGGGAGGGCAAGAGAACAAACACUAGGCUUUGCCAGAGUGGUUACAAGUCACUCUUUAGGAGGAGUCAGUAAGUGGGUAGAGUAGAGAAGCUUCCUCCUAAAGACUGGGGAAGUCUCUUGCCCAUCAUGGAACUGAAAGCAGCACCUGACCUAACAAUUUUCUUUGAUCUCUGAGGGAAUAUUUUUGGAUCAUGCACUUUUGAACAGUAGCUGCAUAUAAAUAAAAUUCUUUUGACUUUUUAUUUCUCAACCCAACUUCAUCUGCAUUUAUUUCAAUCCCUUACCAUUUAUUUUAUUUGCAUGCUUAUCUCUUUAUAUCUUUGGGAUAGUUUGAUAUAACCUUAGUUUUAAUUAAUUAUAUAUUAUUAAUGUUUUCCUUGAUUUUGGCAUUGUUAUCUAUAAAAUAUUCUACAAAAUAUUUCAUGCAGGUAUAUAUUUAUAUGACCAAAUAUUACUUGCUAUUAUGAAAUGAUACCGUAAUUUCUUCAGCCAGUAGCUGAUGAUGGCUUCUUUUUCUUGACCAAAGGUGGGAUCAGAUACUACUGCAAACUAUUUUCUGAUUGACCUUGGUAGAUUGUUGAAUAAUUAGAUACUUUUUGGUUACAUUGUUUCAGGCUCUAAAACAGUCGAAAUUACAAUUAGGGUCCUCUGCUCUAAAAUUCUGUCCAUGUAAAAGAAUAUAUUUUAGGUAAUUUAUUUAAAGAGCAGCAUAAGUCAAGAGCAUCUUUGGUGCAUGGGCUGUGUUUGUGGUUUGUUAUUCUUUUCAGGAAAGAGUUCUCACCUAUCUUUAACAAUGACUUGAAAGGGCAAAGUAGUCAACAUUUUUAUGUAAAUGUAGUUCAUAUUGGAAUGUCUGUCUUAUUUCAGAGUGACUUUUAAUAGUUAGAUAUUCUUAUUACUGAAACUCAGCAAAUAGUUUCUUGGAGUAUAGGCCAGCAAUUUGAUAUUGUAUUUUACUUACAGUGGAUUCAGAGCCAUAUACACAAAGGCAUGUUAAGAAUAAGCAGUAUGUGUGUAUAUGUGUGUGUGUCUCCUGUGAUGCAGGUCAUGAAGGUUUUAAUGCCAGUUGGUUACGGUGUCUGAGGUGUUAGGGAAUAUUUUAAAUAUAAUGAAAAUGUAUGGUUCAGGAAAAAAAAAAAAAGGAUCUUCAUUAACUUUUAAAAAAUCCCAAAUUAGCAAACUUCUGCAAGGUAGAUUGUUACUGAUAAUGACCAUUUACAUAGCUAACAAUCCUAGUCCUUUGGAGGUACUUAUCCUCAGAAAAUAUAAAUAUACUUGGUUAUCCUCAGCCUGCCAACUUCACCAUCCUGAGAAAGGUAAGAUAGCUGUGUGCCACAUACUGGGCACAUCAGGCCUGACUACAGAGGACUCGGACCCCUCCACCAUCUUGGAACAUGACUUGUUAUCCUAUGAGCCAGCUUUGAAUGGAAUCUGUUGGUUAUCAUUUGUCCUAGAGGAAAUCAUACACCCAUCCUUAAGAUGCUCUCUGGUUACUUGAAAGGCACCAGAUUGACUACCCAGGAGGCCGCGGUAGCCUAGAUUUUAAAGGCCAUCUCUUCUCCCUUUGGCAGCAAUCAAGCAGUUUUCCCCCUUCUGUACCACCAAUAUGCCUCAUGAGAAAGGGCAGCCAAAGCAGGGCAUUUUUCAGGCUCCUUCCUGGCUCGGAGCAUCCCAAGGAGGUGCCAAUCUUCAUGAUGGUUUUCAUGCCCAUGGCCAUCUGCUUACAGGGCUUUGGGCAGAUGCCAACAGAUUUUUCUCUCCAUGCCUUCCCAGUCACUAUUGGGUCACAGUGCUGUCUUUUCUCCAUUAUUAAUCUGGCAUAAUUGGAGUUUAACACUCUUGUUGUGAGCAAUUCAGGAUGUGGUUCUCCUGACAUAGCUUUAUGGAAUUGUUAACUGAUAAAUCUGAAUCAUUUAUUUAAGCUUUUGCCCUCAGGGCCAUGGUAAAGAGGGAUUUUUAAAGACCCCAGUAUAGGUGGAAGUUUGGUGCUAGUAUUUCUGAGAACCUUCACCUUGAAUGGCAUGCUAAUGGGGAAAGAGAUUUUAGGCUGUGUGCAGCCACAACUUCCAUGAGGCCAUAUUCUUCCCUUGUUGCUGGACCCUGCUGAGUGGCACCUUUUGUGCCUGAAACCCAUACCAUGAUGGUGAAUAUUUGACACACUAACUCCAGCCCUUCACCGCCCACAAUUGGAAUUAAUUAUCAUCGCCUCUGAAUUUCCCUGUACCUGUCUCUUAGGGCUCUGGCUUCCACCUUAUAUAAUGACAAUUUAUAAGCAUCUCUUAUGUCCUCUUCUAAACUGUAAUCUAGAGGCUGGAGAUCUUAUCUUUCUAUCCUCUCAUUUUCACUGUGCCUAGAUCAGGGAUUUGUACAGAGAUGGCAGUGAAUUAAUACGUUGGAUGAAUGCUCAGAUCAAGGCAAGCAGGAUAUUAAAUAAAAAGCACAGGCUUUGAAAUCAAAUCCACAUUGUGGUCUUUAAUUGCUAAGUCUAUGACUUUAUCUCCUGAGAGUUUGGAAGUAUGAUUAGAGAUAAAAGCAUUAUUGAGCACUACUCUAGACCAGUCAUCUUUCCAGGCGGUUUAUCUCUUUUUUAUUCCUUCUUACAGUAUCACUAUGAAUUUGAUUCCAUGGUUAUCUCAUUUUACAGGUGAGGAAACAGAUGCUGAAAACUUACGUGACUUGUUCAAUGUCAUGUAAGGGGUGAAUCCAAAAUUCAAUACAUGGUUCAUUUGUUUCUUUAGAGCAGCCAUAUGGUCACUGUAGAGGUUAUUUGGUGUUUUAAGGUGGAAAGACAUGGUGAAAAAUGGAGGCAGCAUUAGCCACAAGCUUUAUUCCAGCUAAUGGAUUUUCAUGAGACAACAGGAAUAACAUGAAAGGCAUUGAGGUUUUCUUGUGAAAUAUUUCAUUCUUAGUGUUUGCACUUCAAAUCCAUGGUUUAUGUUAUAAAUCAAGGCUUAUAGAGCCCACUAAAUCCUUGACAACACUUGCUUGAAAGAUUAUGUUCUGAAGGUGAGUGCAUUUUACCUGUAAUUAGAGUCUAAAUUCAAUUUGAAGGAAGUUUUUCUAGCAAAAGAACAAGAGUUUUGUUUUGUUUGGAAAUGCCAUUCCUAGGCUUCUGUAGACUCUGAAAGAGGCUGCUCUUAGAAGAGACUGUGAAGUCAAUGAGUGAAUUCCCUUUUCCAUUGCUAGUGUGAUGCCAGGGACUGCCCAAGUAUCUGGCAUAUUUAUAUAGUCCAAAAAUAAAUAUUUGUGGACUGGAUAAACAAAUGCUUGCCUCCUCUCUAAGCUGCUGGACUAUCACUUCCAUACGAAGUGGAGAACUCUUAGAAUUCAAAUAAACUUUAGUUUUCUUUCCAUCAAAAAGACAUUUUUAUUAUCUAUGUUUUAAUAUAUACAAUAGGGAAAGUGUGAUGGGGAAUGAAAACAUGACUUUUCCCUCCAUAAACUCAGUUAAUCCCACCUUUCUUUCUAUGAUGAUUUAACUUAUACAUCUCCAAAACCUUAGUUGAAUUUACUUAAAUUCUAGCUUUAAUGUUUAAGAAUAAACAUGUCAACUAAGUUUUGGAUGAUUGUUGGCCCAAGUUUAUCGAUCAUGAGGUGCUUCUUAAAUUUUCAAGUGCCUGGAGUUCCUGUUAUGGCGCAGUGGUUAACGAAUCCAACUAGGAACCACGAGGUUGUGGGUUCGAUCCCUGGCCUUGCUCAGUGGGUUAAGGAUCUGGUAUUGCUGUGAGCUGUGAUGUAGCUUGCAGACACGGCUUGGAUCCCGGGAAGCUGUGGCUCUGGUGUAGGUCAGUGUCAACAGCUCUGAUUCGACACCAAGCCUGGGAACCUCCAUAUGCCAUGGGAGUGGCCCUAGGAAAAAAAAAAAAAAAA